rnacentral:rRNA from 1 species
UAUUAAGUAAAACCUGCUCCAUGUUUAAUAAAUAGCCGCAGAAUUUUACUGUGCUAAGGUAGCAUAAUCAUUAACCUUAUAAUUAAAGGCUUGAAUGAAAGGUUUAACAUUUAACUCCUUUUUUAAAUUUAUUUAUAAUUUAUAUUGAAAAUUAAAAUAUUUUCAUUAUUCCUAAAGACGACAAGACCCUAUCAAACUUUACCACUGUUAUGCUGGGGCAGCAAAGCAACAAUAAUUUUGUUUUCAAUAAUAAAAAAGACGACCCAAUAGUAUUGACUUCACGACUAAGUUACUGUAGGGAUAACAGCACAAUUUUCUUUAAAAGUUCUAAUUAAAAAGAAAGAUUGUGACCUCGAUGUUGAAUUAUUUACCUAAUAAACGCAAGCGUUUAUUAAGGGGGUCUGUUCGACCCUUUAAAUUUUACA